UACGUAGGGGGCAAGCGUUGUCCGGAAUCAUUGGGCGUAAAGAGCGUGUAGGCGGCUUGGUAAGUCCGCUGUGAAAGCCCUGGGCUCAACCUGGGAAUUGCAGUGGAUACUGGCAAGCUAGAGUGCGGUAGAGGAUGGUGGAAUUCCCGGUGUAGCGGUGAAAUGCGUAGAGAUCGGGAGGAACACCCGUGGCGAAGGCGGCCAUCUGGACCAGCACUGACGCUGAGGCACGAAAGCGUGGGGAGCAAACAGG
rnacentral:rRNA from 1 species